CUAUUAUUCUCAGCAACUAACUCGCAAAAUCCAUAACGGAAUACAGACUACCAAGCGCUUCUGUCCAUUUAACUCUAGUUUAUUCAAUGGAUCCAGGUGAUGCAGGUGUCUGUGAUCAGCUGAUUCUGCCCUCCAGCCCCUGGUUAAAGCCCUGUGGAGAGGUCGAUGCUGUCUGUGGCAACAGUGAGCAUGGACACGGCUCUUUCUGUGAGCCAAAAGUGUAGGCCUACUCAUCUCCAAGUCCAGAGGACACAGAGAAGAGGGCAUGGCGUGUAAUUAGCAGCCUCUAGCAGAAAAUUGUUGCAGUGUCCUACAAGCAUCUGAUUUCCCCGCCACUGUCUCGGUACUUACGCGUGAACCCAGAGAAGAAUGGAAGAAAUGGAAACCAAACCACUCUGCUGGCCCUUUUUCUCUAUGUCAACACCACCAAUCACUUUCUAAAUUGUGAAUAAAUUAGAUGCAUUGAACAAAUAAAGUUUGAAAACAGCA